GGGGCGAUAAAUCCACAAAUAUGCUAAUUUGAGGAUAAAAUAGUGCUAUUUUUUGAGGAGCCAUUCGGCAGUACAUAUUGUUAUAAUGCACUGAAUUUGACCCGUGAAUUUUCCUUCCUGCCGCCCCCGCCUCUAGAGAAGGACUCUCACUUGAGUAGGAAGAUGCCCGUUGGCCUGAUCACCCGCACAUGGUUUGGGUGUAAAUGAUCCUAAAGGACCUUUGCAGACUGGCACCUCCGAUUCGACUUGAGGUCGGUCUGUACAAGCUGAACAGGACCAAGGUCCAGGACAGGGUUCCCCAAAGCCUCUGCCUGCCUUCUGCAGCUGAGCUGCUUCAGCCUCUGUGGGACACCCAUUUGAAGGAACCUGUCCAAAUCCAUGUAAGAGAUCUCCUAUUUUUUCCCUCCCACCUGAGGCUCUUCCUCCUCACCAGACACCUGUUCCAAGGAAGCUCCUGCAACUAGGUAAGAUGAAU
rnacentral:lncRNA from 1 species